GAAGUCUAGCCUGCCCACUGACAAUAGAGAGUUAAAGGGCCGCGGUAUUUUGACCGUGCAAAGGUAGCAUAAUCAUUAGUCUUUUAAUUGAAGGCUUGUAUGAAUGGUUGGACAAAGGAAAAUCUGUCUUUAUAAUAUUAUUUGAAUUUAACUUUUAAGUGAAAAGGCUUAGAUGGGCCAAGGGGACGAUAAGACCCUAUAAAACUUUAUAUAAAAUUAAAUUUGUUUAAAUUUAAUUAUUAAAAACCUGAGUUAAUAAUUAUAUUUUGUUGGGGCGACAUAGGUAUAAGUAAUUAUAAUAACUGUUUAAAUAUAAUACUAUAAAUUUAUGAGUUAAGAUUAUAAAUGAUCCUUAUUAAAGAUUAAAAGAUUAAGUUACUUUAGGGAUAACAGCGUAAUUUUUUUUGAGAGUUCCUAUCGAAAAGAGAGUUUGCGACCUCGAUGUUGAAUUAAAAUAUCUAUAUAAUGUAGUUGUUAUAAAAGAAGGUCUGUUCGACCUUUAAAUUUUUACGUGAUCUGAGUU
rnacentral:rRNA from 1 species